CGNNUGCGCAUGGGGGGNACCCUGACGCAGCGACGCCGCGUGCGGGAUGAAGGCCUUCGGGUUGUAAACCGCUUUUGAUUGGGAGCAAGCCUUUUGGGUGAGUGUACCUUUCGAAUAAGCGCCGGCUAACUACGUGCCAGCAGCCGCGGUAAUACA
rnacentral:rRNA from 1 species